GUUAUCGAUAGUGUCAAACCAUCAAUAGUGCGGAUAGUGCCAUCGAUAGCUCUCCACCUCUUCUUAUACGUUCUUUCGUAAACCGGACGUCCCGACGUGCAGACAUGGCAUCGAAAGUUUCGCGUGACACGCUCUAUGAGGGCGUCAGUGGAAUUCUGGAGAACUCGCUGAAGAAGAAGCGUGGCUUCCUCGAGACGGUGGAGUUGCAAAUCGGCCUCAAGAACUACGAUCCCCAGAAGGACAAGCGUUUCUCCGGCACUGUCAAGUACGUUGGCUAAAAUACCUGCGCCAGUGAGUACGCCUGCUCCCCGCGAGUAGUGUGCCACAGCGUUAGGAAGUCGAUCAUGUGGUAACAUUGAUCGGCGGACCUGCACUCAGGGUCUUAAAAACAAAUUGAGUAGGUCUCCAGCAAUGGAGACCGACCCCUGUAGUUAUUAAAAUGAAAACACGCGUGCUCCCCCGUGGGCUUUGUUGAAGCACAUCCCCCGUCCCAAGAUGAAGGUGUGCAUCCUCGGCGAUCAGCAGCAUUGCGACGAGGCCAAGGCCAAUGGCGUUGAGUUCAUGGAUGCCGAAGCCCUGAAGAAGCUGAACAAGAACAAGAAACUUGUGAAGAAGCUGGCUAAGUCUUACGACGCGUUCCUGGCUUCCGAGUCCCUCAUCAAGCAGAUUCCACGUCUGCUGGGUCCCGGUCUGAACAAGGCCGGCAAGUUCCCUGCCCUGCUGUCGCAUCAGGAGUCCAUGAUUGGCAAGAUCGAGGAGGUCAAGUCCACCAUCAAGUUCCAGAUGAAGAAGGUUCUGUGUUUGUCGGUCGCCGUUGGACACGUCGGCAUGAAGAGUGACGAGCUUGCCCAGAACGUCAACUUGUCGAUCAAUUUCCUGGUCUCCCUGUUGAAGAAGAACUGGCAGAAUGUGCGCUCCCUGCACAUCAAGUCGUCUAUGGGCCCACCCCAGCGUCUCUACUAGAUGUCCAUAUGUUUUAACAUCAGAUAAUAAAUGAGAAACUACAUUUUGUUAAAUGUA